UGCGCAGGCGGUUUUUGUAAGUCAGAUGUGAAAUCCCCGGGCUUAACCUGGGAAUGGCAUUUGAGACUGCAAGGCUAGAGUGUGUCAGAGGGGGGUAGAAUUCCACGUGUAGCAGUGAAAUGCGUAGAGAUGUGGAGGAACACCGAUGGCGAAGGCAGCCCCCUGGGAUAACACUGACGCUCAUGCACGAAAGCGUGGGGAGCAAACAGGAUUAGAUACCCUGGUAGUCCACGCCCUAAACGAUGUCGACUAGUUGUCGGGUCUUAAUGACUUGGUAACGCAGCUAACGCGUGAAGUCGACCGCCGUGGGGAGUACGGUCGCAAGAUUAAA
rnacentral:rRNA from 1 species